CCUACGGGCGGCAGCAGUGAGGAAUAUUGGUCAAUGGGCGUAAGCCUGAACCAGCCAAGUAGCGUGAGGGAUGAAGGUUCUAUGGAUCGUAAACUUCUUUUAUAAGGGAAUAAAGUGCGGGACGUGUCCCGUUUUGUAUGUACCUUAUGAAUAAGGAUCGGCUAACUCCGUGCCAGCAGCCGCGGUAAUACGGAGGAUCCGAGCGUUAUCCGGAUUUAUUGGGUUUAAAGGAAGCGUAGGCGGCCUUUUAAGUCAGCGGUGAAAGUCUGUGGCUCAACCAUAGAAUUGCCGUUGAAACUGGGAGGCUUGAGUAUGUUUGAGGCAGGCGGAAUGCGUGGUGUAGCGGUGAAAUGCUUAGAUAUCACGAAGAACCCCGAUUGCGAAGGCAGCCUGCUAAGCCAUGACUGACGCUGAUGCUCGAAAGCGUGGGUAUCAAACAGGAUUAGAUACCCGAGUAGUC
rnacentral:rRNA from 1 species